CCCAGUUCUGCAUGCUGAGCUGUUGCUAAUUUGUGAUCAGAGCUGAACACAGACGGCUCACCAUGGAGCUUGGGCUGAGCUGGGUUUUCCUUGUUGCUGUUUUCAAAGGUGUCCAGGCUGAGGUGCAGCUGGUGGAGUCUGGGGGAGGCUUGGUGCAACCUGGAGGGUCCCUGAGACUCUCCUGUGCAGCCUCUGGAUUCACCUUCAGUAACUUCUACAUGGACUGGGCCCGCCAGGCUCCAGGAAAGGGGCUGGAGUGGGUUGCUCGCAUUAGGAAUAAAGCUAAUAGUUAUACAACGGACUAUGCUGCGUCUGUGAAAGGAAGAUUCACCAUCUCCAGAGAUGAUUCCAAAAGCAUGGUCUAUCUGCAAAUGGACACCCUGAGAGCUGAGGACACAGCCCUGUAUUAUUGUGUAAGAGACACAGAGAGGACAGCUCAGUAUAAGCCCUGA